UGGGGAAUAUUGCACAAUGGGGGAAACCCUGAUGCAGCGACGCCGCGUGAGCGAUGAAGUAUUUCGGUAUGUAAAGCUCUAUCAGCAAGGAAGAUAAUGACGGUACUUGACUAAGAAGCUCCGGCUAAAUACGUGCCAGCAGCCGCGGUAAUACGUAUGGAGCAAGCGUUAUCCGGAUUUACUGGGUGUAAAGGGAGCGUAGACGGUCGGGCAAGUCUGAUGUGAAAGCCCGGGGCUCAACCCCGGAACUGCAUUGGAAACUGUUUGACUAGAGUGCAGGAGAGGUAAGCGGAAUUCCUAGUGUAGCGGUGAAAUGCGUAGAUAUUAGGAGGAACACCAGUGGCGAAGGCGGCUUACUGGACUGUAACUGACGUUGAGGCUCGAAAGCGUGGGGAGCAAACAGG
rnacentral:rRNA from 1 species